UGACCUCAAAUCAGGUAGGACUACCCGCUGAACUUAAGCAUAUCAAUAAGCGGAGGAAAAGAAACUAACAAGGAUUCCCCUAGUAACUGCGAGUGAAGCGGGAAAAGCUCAAAUUUAAAAUCUGGCGGUCUUUUGGCUGUCCGAGUUGUAAUCUAGAGAAGUGUUAUCCGCGCUGGACCGUGUACAAGUCUCCUGGAAUGGAGCAUCAUAGAGGGUGAGAAUCCCGUCUUUGACAUGGACUGCCAGGGCUUUGUGAUGCGCUCUCAAAGAGUCGAGUUGUUUGGGAAUGCAGCUCAAAAUGGGUGGUAAAUUCCAUCUAAAGCUAAAUAUUGGCGAGAGACCGAUAGCGAACAAGUACCGUGAGGGAAAGAUGAAAAGAACUUUGGAAAGAGAGUUAAACAGUACGUGAAAUUGCUGAAAGGGAAACGCUUGAAGUCAGUCGCGUCGUCCAGGGAUCAACCUUGCUUUUGCUUGGUGCACUUUCUGGUUUGACGGGUCAGCAUCAAUUUUGAUUAUUGGAAAAAGGUUAAGGGAAUGUGGCAUCUUUGGAUGUGUUAUAGCCCUUGGUCGUAUACAAWGGUUGGGAUUGAGGAACUCAGCACGCCGCAAGGCCGGGUUUAAACCACGUACGUGCUUAGGAU
rnacentral:rRNA from 1 species